rnacentral:rRNA from 1 species
UGGGCAGCUUACACAUGCAGUCGAGCGGUAACAGGGGGUGCUUGCACCCCGCUGACGAGCGGCGGACGGGUGAGUAAUGCAUAGGAAUCUGCCCAGUAGUGGGGGAUAGCCCGGGGAAACCCGGAUUAAUACCGCAUACGCCCUUUGGGGGAAAGCAGGGGAUCUUCGGACCUUGCGCUAUUGGAUGAGCCUAUGUCGGAUUAGCUAGUUGGUGGGGUAAAGGCCUACCAAGGCGACGAUCCGUAGCUGGUCUGAGAGGAUGAUCAGCCACAUCGGGACUGAGACACGGCCCGAACUCCUACGGGAGGCAGCAGUGGGGAAUAUUGGACAAUGGGGGCAACCCUGAUCCAGCCAUGCCGCGUGUGUGAAGAAGGCUUUCGGGUUGUAAAGCACUUUCAGUGAGGAGGAAAACCUUCUGGUUAAUACCCAUGAGGCUUGACGUUACUCACAGAAGAAGCACCGGCUAACUCCGUGCCAGCAGCCGCGGUAAUACGGAGGGUGCAAGCGUUAAUCGGAAUUACUGGGCGUAAAGCGCGCGUAGGUGGUUUGAUAAGCGAGAUGUGAAAGCCCCGGGCUUAACCUGGGAACGGCAUUUCGAACUGUCAGGCUA